rnacentral:rRNA from 1 species
AUUCCAGCUCCAAUAGCGUAUUGUAAAGUUGUUGCAGUUAAAAAGCUCGUAGUUGGAUUUCGGGCUCGACGGCGACGGUCAGCCGCAAGGUAUGUCACUGUCGGCGUUGGCCUUCUUCGCGCAGACUUCCCGUGCUCUUAACUGAGUGUGCGUUGGAUACGCGACGUUUACUUUGAAAAAAUUAGAGUGUUCAAAGCAGGCUUGUGCUUGGAUACAUAAGCAUGGAAUAAUGGAAUAGGACUUUGGUUCUAUUUUCCGUUGGUUUCUGGAACCGAAGUAAUGAUUAAUAGGGACAGUUGGGGGCAUUCGUAUUUCGUUGUCAGAGGUGAAAUUCUUGGAUUUACGAAAGACGAACUAAUGCGAAAGCAUUUGCCAAGAAUGUUUUCAUCA